rnacentral:rRNA from 1 species
AUUGAACGCUAGCGGCAGGCUUAAUACAUGCAAGUCGUGGGGCAGCGCAGGUAGCAAUACUGGGCGGCAACCGGCAAACGGGUGCGCAAUACGUACGCAACCUUCCUUUAAGCGGGGAAUAGCACAGGGAAACUUGGAUUAAUACCCCAUAACAUGUUGAGGGGGCAACCUUUUAAUAUUAAAGAUCCGGAACUUAAAGAUGGGCGUACGGCUGAUUAGGUAGUUGGCGGGGUAACGGCCCACCAAGCCUUCGAUCAGUAUCUGAUGUGAGAGCAUGAUCAGCCACACGGGCACUGAGACACGGGCCCGACUCCUACGGGAGGCAGCAGUAAGGAAUAUUGGUCAAUGGACGCAAGUCUGAACCAGCCAUGCCGCGUGGAGGAUGAAGGUCCUCUGGAUUGUAAACUUCUUUUAUCUGGGACGAAACACCUCUUUUCUAAGGGGCCUGACGGUACCAGAUGAAUAAGCACCGGCUAACUCCGUGCCAGCCGCCGCCGUAA